AUGUUCCUACAGCAUCCUUCUCCCUUCUUUCCAGUGUGUGUUCAGUUAAUGAACUGGAGGCUAGAACUCAAGUUCUUUUACCACUACAGUGAAAGAAAUCCGCACGACCUGCAUAACACAGAAAGUUGGGAGAGCAUGGUUUUCAUUCAGCCUACACAGAAGCAGAGAGAAACUUGGCUCAUGCUAAAGCCAGUAAAAAGAAAAUCCUGUUCCCCCUCGUUUGUCCUCAAUGCUCUAGAACUUGUAAGGCGUAAAUAUUUUUGGAAAAAAAAAGUGGUCAUUUGACUUUGAAAAUAAAGCCUUUUUGUUUAAGACAAGUAUAAACAUUUUGGAUAUAUGUGCCUAUGUGUUCUGAUUUAUCUGGGAACAUCUAGCAAUUACCAAGUGAGAAUAAAUAAAUAUUUUGAUUAAAAACAGCCAGAAAAUAGUCCAAAUUAUGCUCCCUUGAUUGGGACUACUCAAAUGGGAAAGGAGACAUGACAUAUUUCUGUUUUUAUUAGUUUCAGAAACUUAGGCUGGAACUACAUAUAGUCUCAAAAGAGAAACUGCAAAAUAAAUUACGAUAAAUUCUCUUUAUUAAGUGAUAUAGAUAUAUAGAUUGGUAAUAUGUAGGAUUCUAGAGGAAAGUAACAAACUAGUCCUCAUGGUGAAAACAUAAAGGAUCUGUUUUUAGAAGGUCUCAGAGUUAAGCGGGGAAAAUGUAAAUAAAGGAAAACAUGGCAGUUUUGUGUGAGGUUUUUACAUUGUCAAAUGAAACUAAAUUCUAUAAAUCUAGUUCUCUGGGAUAAUAGACCUCCCUCACAGCAAAAAUCUAGCUGGUAGAAAGCCAUCUUCCUCUAGUUGGAGGUCCUGCCAUGAGCAGCUAAAUACAAUAUUUCCCAAAGUUACAAGUAAGAAAGACAAAUGCUAGAUUUAAAGUUCUAAAGUGAACUGCCCAUUUUGAACAUGUAUGUAUGUAUCUGCAUAUAUAUUAUAUAUAUAUAUAUAUAUAUAUAUAUAUAUAUAUAUAUAUAUAUAUAUAUACACACACACACACACACACAUACAUACACACACACACACACGCACACACGCACACACACACAAUCAGCCACCCAUUUGAUUUUGGAACAUUUCAGAUAAGCAGUGGUUCUCAAUCUGUGGGUCCCCAGGUGUUUUGGCCUACAACUCCCAGAAAUCCCAGCCAGUUCACCAGCUGUUAGGAUUUCUGGGAGUUGGAGGAGAAACAUCUGGUGACCCACUGGUGAGAACCACUGCUUUAGAAUAAUUGAAACAAAAUGCCCCAAAGGAAAAAAAAUGAACAUGUAAUAGUUCUUACUGAACCCUCUUAAUAGUUGUGGUAAGAGGAGCUCUACUUUAAUAUUACUAGGAUUUAGCUGUUAGGAUUUCUGGGAGUUGAAAGUCAAAAGAUCUGGGGGACUCACAGUUUGAGAACUACUGGGAUAAGGGAUGGUCAACCUAAAAUGCUCUUAUUAGUAAACAUUUGCAAAACAUGAGCACAAAUUUAUAUUCAGGAACAAAAGUUGUAAAUCUCAAUUUUCACUUUCAAAAUAAUAGGUAGCUGUAAUAGGAAGAACACUAAAAAUCCACAUUUAAGCGAUAUUUUUUAUUAGCGGACCAAUGGACAUGUCGCAGACUAAUGAAUAAGCAGAAAUCAUGAUAUUAUAAAAAGCCCCAUAGCUAUUUUAAAUUGGUCCCUGAUUCAUUGCCAACUAUCCUUCCAAAACAAAUUUCCCAUCAAAUGCAUAUACGGUACUAUUUAAAAAAUUGUGCAAUACGAAAAAGAAAAUAAAGUCAACAAGGAGGAUAGUCUUAAAGAACAGGCUACAGUGGGUGUAAUGGAUCCCUAUCAGAGGCUGCUUUGUGCCAUGGCAAGACAUGAUGAUGUGGUUUGCUGGAGACUAACACUGUCAGUUGCAGAGUGCCAAUGCAUGUCGAAUGACCGUGGGGAGACCAUCAACUCAGCACAAUAUGGUAGAGUCUCACUUAUCCAACAUCCGCUUAUCUAACGUUCUGGAUUAUCCAAUGCAUUUUUGUAGUCAAUGUUUUCAAUACAUCGUGAUAUUUUGGUGCUAAAUUCGUAAAUACACUAAUUACUACAUAGCAUUACUGCGUAUUGAACUACUUUUCCCGUCAAAUUUGUUGUAUAACAUGAUGUUUUGGUGUUUAAUUUGUAAAAUCAUAACCUAAUUUGAUGUUUAAUAGGCUUUUCCUUGAUCCCUCCUUAUUAUCCAACAUAUUCGCUUAUCCAAAAUUCUGCUGGCCCGUUUAGGUUGGAUAAGUGAGACUCUACUGUACUGGCAAAAUAUUUUGAUGUUUGAGAUAGAUUAGACAUGCUGGCUGUGGGAUUCUGGGAAAGAAAGAAAAAGUUAACUUUUCCAAGCAGUGAACCAUCCCCUCUCAAUAUCCCUAUUCAGCCCUUCAAACAUUUCAACAGAAAAUACGAAGUUUCAGAUUCAAACCCUAGGUACAAUCUCCCAAUGGUAAAGGCUGAAGAAGGUCCACACAGGCACUUUUGCCAUUAUACAGGUCUUCUUGAAGCUGUGUGGCACUUCUUGUUUUCUUCUCAUCUAACCAUCUCUAACCAUACUUCCCCCACG
ensembl:lncRNA